CUUACACAGAGUGGCGUUAGGAUACUGAGGUGGGGAGAACCGUGUUUGGAUGGAGUCAGAGACUGUCUCCUGGAACGGCCUGAAGCUCAGCAGCCAACAUGUUGGGAGGCACCAAGGAAGCCAGAUACUGCUGCUGUUGGAACUUGCACCGUGAGGUACCUGUGGUCUCCAGACACUGAGAUGGCCCUGUUCCAUUCCUGGGACGACUCAGCAAUGUGACUGUGAAGAAACCCUGAAGAACAAAAGGGAAGAGUUUAGGUGGCUUGGCUCCAGGAGGUGGUGGGUCAUUAUGGUCUAACUGCAAAAAUGGAUGGAACUACUGUCUCCUUCAAUCACUUCCCAGGAAGUACCAGGAAUUAAAACCAUCAUAGAGUUUUUAAAUGAGCAGAAAAAUACUUGUGCUAGAACUGUGAUCAGACCUGUGAUCUAUGCCUCAGAGUCAGCUAAGAAGAAAUGGCCUAAGUGGAAGCCCUGGUUAUCUGAGUUCUUCAGAUCAAACAUCAGGCCCUGGAAUGUCCUCUAUACCUUGGUUUGGGGGAAUUUUUCCUGCUUAGUCCUCUAAGUCUCCUUCCAAUCUCUAAUUUGUUGGUCUGCUACAGCCAACUGUAACAGGGUGGUCCAUUCUCUGCUCCUGACUUCCAGUCCAGUUCUCAGCUCAGGUCCUCCUCUUUGGGAGUAGGACUGGACCAAGGUUUCACUGCUGUAUUCAGAUAAUACCCAAGAAGGAAAUUUGGAUUUGCAAGUCAUCCUCACUCUCUCGUGAGACAUCCUAGUGACAUCCUAGCUUCUGUUGACAGGUUCUUGUGACAUCCUAGUCUCUGUUGCUGUCUCUGACUCUCUGUCCCAUACAUACAUAUUUAUGAAUUUUGUGUUGAACAUUUUGCCUGUCUUUGCUCUCUUGUAACUUUUACAGUCUUCUUCCUGGGACUUACAUGCAAUUUCAAAUUGUCACUUUCUCUCAUAGUGAUAAUAACUUCCAUGAUGGGUCCCAUUACCAUGCUCAUCUUCUUUCCUUGCUCAAUCUUUUCUCAACUUUGCUGAAAUUUGCCAAUAAAAGUCCUCCCACCCUAGGAAUAAUAGUUUCCCCUUUCUCAAUAUAUGAAGACUACAAUGAAAUACAAAGGGAGAGCCCCUUCCCUUCUGAAUCAGGUGCCUCUGGGCUGAUUACCUUUCCCUUUUCUCAGGUCUCUCGCCAUGAAGUGUCCUGCCCCUGUCUUGUGCACACGGCAUAGUUCCUCUGGGCCCAAGAUUGGACUUAGCGCUGCUUGGUGCAAUUUGUGGCUACCCUGCUAGCUCUUAAAUGACUUACAAACUUUAUUGAAAAACAAUUUUGAAGUCUUGUAAGGAAUAUUUCCAGGCACGAAUUUAAUUUCCUGCCAGAGCAUUCUUUCUCAUCAAAGUCAACUUGAGAGUCUCCUCAUGACAGGAUGAGCUGAGCUGGCACCAUAGGAAGGCAUGGCCCUGAGCCCCCUGUCUCGCACCCCUCUGGUCCUCAGGCUGGCUUUCCAGGCACAGCUACAGGCGUGUGUGAGUUUUCCACUGAGUCCAAAUAAAUCAAGUGAGGAAAUACGUGGAGGUGUUGGUUUCCAGCACUUAUUUUUUUCUGUGGCUUUCCUAAUAGGCAAAGCAAAGGACUAUUUCAAACUUGAGUUUCUACAGCACAGCAGGGUUGCAGGAAUAAAAGUAACAGUUAAAAAUUGGCAACUGAAUUCGAGGGCAAUCAAUCUACCAUCUCAAGGGAUUGGUUUGGUGAGGUGGAUCCAAAAGUAGGAAUGAGGUUCAUAGGUUAAGGUUUUGGUUCUCUUCCAGGUUUGCUAUUAAUGUGCUCUGUGUCUGGGUCUAUGCCUCAGUCCUAUUUUCCUGGCUUUGUAGAAGAUACCACGACAUCAACAGAGCUGCUAUAAGAAUUUACUAACACGUGUGAGGUGAUUUAUAACCUCCAGAUUAAUAAGUAGCAGCACGUGGUCAUGUAACUGUUGUACACCAGCCCUCCCUGACAUAAUGCAACUUGUCUAUCAGCUCUUAAUUGUUAUUAACCAAAGGCGAUUCUAUUUGUUCCAUGUGUAUAACUCUUGCUGACAAUAUCUGCAUUGCCUACUACUAUUUUAGCCCAUAUAUUUUCUUUGAAGUGCUUUUCCAAUUUAAUUAUUGACAUGAGUUAUUUCCAAUUUGAUCUUGUCUGUGGUUUUUUCCUUUACUCUUUUCCAAGAGUACUUGUCUUUCUUAAGUGUUUUUUUCUCUCUUUAUCAUCUUAGAAUUUUAUUUUAGUUUGGGGAUUUAUUGAACCUCUUCUCCAAUGUUUCAUUAGAAUCUCACCCAUGGUUUCUCAGAAUUCCUAAUUCCUUCACAUGGUUCAGCCAUUUUUAUACUUCCUUAAACUUUUAAACCUUUGAUUAAAUAAAUUUGUGCUCCAAAACACAUAAAAAUUCUUUGACUUGGAUAAAAAAGAGCUUUUCAAAAAAAUGAAUACAAUUCUUAUAAACAUGUUUAUAUACCAUAUUAAGUUCAAAAUAGAUGGUAUGUUUAACAUUACACACUUGUAGAAAUUCUAAGUUUAACUUUUGAAAGCUUGAGUAAAUACACACUCAGGAAUGCCUGCAAUCCUUAUAAACAGUUCUUAUCUACCUGUCAACUGUCAGUGUCAACAUUUACAAGUUAACAGACGACAUGCUUUAACACAAUUACUAAAUCCUUGUCUGUUUAUUUCUGAACCGAUCAUGGGAAAGUCAUGUCCAAUUGAACCUUGAAAAAACAUACACAUUUUACAUAGAAAGUAGAGGUUUCCAACAACGGAUCUGUCAAGAAAUUUUAGAGACUUUAUCCAUGUAAAACUAGGCCAGUUUCCUAUGCUUUAGACACAUGGUGGUAUUAGAUAAAGCAUUUGGUUGCCAAAGUAUUUUUACAACUACUGCCUAUAAAUCACCAAGGGAAAAAAAUAAUAAGAAUUGCCAAUAUUAAAAAAAGCAUGGCAUGAUGUGGCCAUUUACCAAUUGACAGCUUCCGUUGCACCCUGUCCCCUGUUAGGAUGGAUCAAUGGUAGCAUUAUUUAACAUCGUCUCUGUCACAUAUUUCUGCUGAUGGUAUAUCUGAUUUUGGUUAAUUAAUCAUAUCAAUGGCCCCAGCUAAUGGCUGCCUUAUAUUCUCACUUAUGCAAUGUGAUGUUGUUGCUCCUCUGAUCUAGACUCUGUUUCCCCAGUUCUUGGGAAAUAGAUUAAAUCUUAUUAUAAAUGCUUCUCUACAUUCUUCCUUUCUACUCAUGUGUCAAGAGUAUUUCUUCAUGUUAACAAAAAUUAAUAUGUUUUAUCAAUUUCAGUGACUCUAUAUAUUCCAUUAUACAGACACAUUAAAAUUUGUCAUUUCUUUAUUGAUACAAGGAUACAGGCUGUUUUUUUAACUCUAAAAAUUUAUAAAUAAUGCUUCUGUGAACAUUUUUUUUUUGGACUGUACCUUUCUAAUUAUUUCCUUGGGAUACAAUUUUUUUUUUCAGAAAUUGGCAGAGUAGGCUGGAAGUUAAAUAUGUUUAAACUUUUUCUGAUGCUUACCUGCUUUUGAGAGUGACCCUGAGACGAGAACUCCAAUUGUUUGGUGGCUGGGGAAGAGAAGACACUGUACUUCAGGGGAGUGAGGCAGGGAGGACUCUUGGUUCUAGGGAUUGGUAAAGAAAAAGCUGAGAAAGAAGACUCCUUAAGCAGCAGGAAGUCCCUCGUGAACAGUUGACUCUGGUUCAGGCAGGAAGCCAGAAAAGACUGCCUGACCUUGGGGGAUCGCCUGCAGAAACGUGGC